CCCCUCUCAGGGUCACACCUGGAGAGUUUCUAGUACUCUGCUAGUCUUGACUACUGGAGGGAGAGUCAAGCAGAGGCAUAUCCAUUCCAUUCCUAGCUUGGGCAGUGACUAGUGAAAGAAAGGCAAUCUGCUACAACU